UAAAAGUAAAUUUCCGGACACAGAUGCGACUUGCAAGGGUCAAAAUCUUUAAAUUAUGAUCUCUAUGUGCAUGCGAAUAUCUUCAGCCGACUUGUGAAAUGUCCAAACAGCUCCAACUGCUACCUAAGAUGAUAACACGGACGAUAAAGGAAUGAAGGGUAUGUCUGCUUCACUACGAUUGACAAAACUUGCACAUCUACUUUCAAGUUGGUGAAAGCACGACUUCAAGAUGUAAGCUAAAAAAGAAGAUGGUAAUUUCCGGCCACAAGUGUCAAAAUCUUAAAAUUAGGGUCGAAGAGAAAUAUACGUCUCCUUGCGGUAAACCAGAAUACAGCACGGCAUUUUGCUUCAUAUACGUGUUAUUCAAAAGACAACAACAGUUUAAAGCCAAAGGAACCCAAUCUAACAAAUUGUGUCAGUCGUUGGACAUUCAAAAUCAUGAUCUGAUAUAUCGUUUGGAAAUUCUCCCCUUUGCUGAGGAAAUACCAUCUAUCAUUUAAUGGAUAUUUAACUAGAACAGAACGGAACAGAACAGAACAGAACGGACCAGAACAGAACUCUCAGUCAGCAUUUACAUCUCUGUAAACGGCAUCGAUAUUGCCAUUUAAUUUAUCAUAUAUUUAUCGAUUUAUAACUGGUAUUCUGCGGACUCCGUAAUUGAUACAUUGACAUUUUCUUGACAAAAUAUUGAUAAAUCAGUUGAUAGACCGAUAUCGAAGUUGGAUUUUGCUGUUAUCCGAAUUCAGAAAGCAGCAUAAUACAAUAAGUACAAUGAUUAUCAAGAUUUAUAAAAAAUGUUUCACCUAGUGUUAUUUUGACAUAGGAAUUUCUACACGUCUGACAAACCGGAAGUAAAGGCAUGACGUCAUUUAACCGGAAAUGUAAC
rnacentral:lncRNA from 1 species